rnacentral:rRNA from 1 species
UACGUAGGGGGCAAGCGUUGUCCGGAUUCAUUGGGCGUAAAGAGCGUGUAGGCGGCCAGGUAGGUCGGUUGUGAAAACUGGAGGCUCAACCUUCAGAGGUCGACCGAAACCAUCUGGCUAGAGUCCGGGAGAGGGAUGUGGAAUUCCAGGUGUAGCGGUGAAAUGCGUAGAUAUCUGGAGGAACACCGGUGGCGAAGGCGGUAUCCUGGACCGGUAUUGACGCUGAGGCGCGAAAGCCAGGGGAGCAAACGGG